rnacentral:tRNA from 1 species
GCCGGGGUGGCUCAGUUGGUAGAGCGUCGGACUCAUAAGAUUGUAAAGGUCUGAGAAAUCCGAAGGUCUCGGGUUCGACCCCCGAUCCCGGCA